UCUUCGGAGUUGUGGGUGGUUGCGAGAUCCUGGACGAGCCCCCAAAUGAAAGACCACGCUCAAAUCUCAAGACAACGCAACCCCCAAGAACUCACGAGAAACC
rnacentral:pre_miRNA from 14 species